rnacentral:rRNA from 1 species
CUAUGUGCAGUCGAGCGACUGAUUAGAAGCUUGCUUCUAAGACGUUAGCGGCGGACGGGUGAGUAACACGUGGGCAACCUGCCUGUAAGACUGGGAUAACUUCAGGAAACCGAAGCUAAUACCGGAUAGGAUCUUCUCCUUCAUGGGAGAUGAUUGAAAGAUGGUUUCGGCUAUCACUUACAGAUGGGCCCGCGGUGCAUUAGCUAGUUGGUGAGGUAACGGCUCACCAAGGCAACGAUGCAUAGCCGACCUGAGAGGGUGAUCGGCCACACUGGGACUGAGACACGGCCCAGACUCCUACGGGAGGCAGCAGUAGGGAAUCUUCCGCAAUGGACGAAAGUCUGACGGAGCAACGCCGCGUGAGUGAUGAAGGCUUUCGGGUCGUAAAACUCUGUUGUUAGGGAAGAACAAGUACGAGAGUAACUGCUCGUACCUUGACGGUACCUAACCAGAAAGCCACGGCUAACUACGUGCCAGCAGCCGCGGUAAUACGUAGGUGGCAAGCGUUAUCCGGAAUUAUUGGGCGUAAAGCGCGCGCAGGCGGUUUCUUAAGUCUGAUGUGAAAGCCCACGGCUCAACCGUGGAGGGUCAUUGGAAACUGGGGAACUUGAGUGCAGAUGAGAAAAGCGGAAUUCCACGUGUAGCGGUGAAAUGCGUAGAGAUGUGGAGGAACACCAGUGGCGAAGGCGGCUUUUUGGUCUGUAACUGACGCUGAGGCGCGAAAGCGUGGGGAGCAAACAGGAUUAGAUACCCGGGUAGUCCACGCCGUAAACGAUGAGUGCUAAGUGUUAGAGGGUUUCCGCCCUUUAGUGCUGCAGCUAACGCAUUAAGCACUCCGCCCUGGGGAGUAC